UUAAAAUACUAAUUCAUGUGAAUGAGAUGGUAUGAUGUGACAUAGAGAUCAUGAUGAACACACAUAUACCCAAUUAAAUUGAGAUGAAAUUUUCAAUUUAGCCAUUAGCCACAAACAAAAUAUAGCCAAGUCAAAAUGAGAUUAAUUAUGUACAUGGAAUUUAACAUGAUAAAUCAAAUGAAAUCUUAAACAUAACAAGGUUAAUCACAUGGAAAUUAAUUCUGGAAAAUUAAAAAAUGAAAUCUAAUAUCUAAAAGUGAUUAAGCCUAAUUUCUAACUAACUUAUCUCCAAGAUUAUGUUAAAUCCUAAUAAAAAACUAAAAAUUAAUUCUAAUAUUUCUAUCAAGAUUGACAAACAACGUCAGAAUUAAUCAAAGAAAAACAAGAUUAAUAAACUCUAAUCAUGGAUUAGCAAAAAUUAAGAAGAAAACUAUUAACAUGGGCUUAACAGUUAACUGGAGGGACAUGGUGAUGUUUCAGCAAGAAUGAACUAAGUCCCAACCCCAGGCCCAAUCGAAAUCCAGCAUGAUAAACAAGUGGUGAAGAUAGAAUUGUCCAUGAAUCAUGUUACUGUAAGUAACAAUACAUGGCAACAGUGAUGUGGAUUCUCGAAUCAUGGCGGUAACGUCAUUUUCAUGUUAAGCUUCAUGAGAAACCUAUGAAACUAUUACUAAUGAUGGACAUUGAAGAAAAUACGCGGCAUCAGGUGCCACCGCGUCCUCUUCCUCUCACGAACUCAGUUCGUUCACCUCUGGUUACACGCUCCGUCGGACCGGUGGCGGUCCUCGGCGGCGAUGACGGAUUAAACUUAAAGGCAUCCUAACGUGCUACUCGAUCCUAAUCCUUCCUGAAUGUCUCGAAUUGGCAAUAGCUAUUUAGGAAUCCUAACCUAAAAACCUACGUUCGCCACCACUCUCCUAGAAUCGGAGCCCGAGGGAUCAGAGCUCCGAUCUGCCUACAUCUUUUCCAUGUCACGGCAACAACAAACUGAAAGAAAAAAGAAUUCUAAACUCACCUUGCCGGAGACGAUGAUUGCGAUGGUGAAAUCUCUACUUCCAGGUAGUGACUAUAUGUUUCCUUCUUCUUUAUGAAUGCGAAGUGAUCUUCUUCUUCUCCAACUUCUAGUCUGUAGGAAUGGCUUCUUCUUGAGAUUCGUUUGUGAUCCGUUGCAACCGGGAGGGUGAGGAAGGUUGAAGCUCAACUGGUUAGAGCUUCUGAUGCUGAAGCUCUAAUAGUUACGGUAAUUGAGAGCGUAUAGUGAGGAAUUGGGAUAGAGCGGAGGGAAUCACGUGUGACUAAGAGUGAUGAAGAUGAGAGAAUGAAAAUAAUCCAAUAUCCCCCUGUGAAUGAGGAUGGGAGACGAAUUUAUAGAGAGGGAAGGGUGUAACAGGAUUGGGCAGAUCGGGUAGCACCGUUAGGGUAGUGGUUGGUGAAUUUGGAGAGGAAAGUGGUUAAACAGUUAACUUUGUUAGCUCCUCCGUUAGAUUGAAUUUGGUUAGUGAGUUGUUUGAAAAGAAGGUUAGUUAGUGGCAAAAAUCAGCUGGUGGAAACUCGAAUGUUAGCUAUGUUAAAAUGGGAAGUAGAGUUAAGUGAAAAUGCAAUGGCAAUUGAGUUAGUAAUUUCUGCAAAAUGGUUUUUCAUUCUCUGCAUUACAUUUCUAUUAUCAUGGUCUUCAAAUUAUUCGGUGUUAAUCGAAAGUGCGUGGGAAUGUUCGAAGGACUGAUUUGGUGUUCUUUUGUCCCAUUGCAGGUUCGCCGUUAUGGUCGCCAGAAAGUUUUGUUGAACGUUUUGGCCUACAACAAGGCAAUGUUUGUGGUUUACACAGGGUUGAUGCUGCUUCUGCUGACAGGCUUUAAUAUCACGCAAGCUGGUACCACGUAUAUCUCCGUCGUUACCGUAAGCAAUAUCACACUCACUCAUCUUCUUGGAGUUGUUGCAUUCGUCCGGAGUCGGCCAACUCUAUGGAUAGAUCCGACGAAUUUUUCAGAGACAUUUCAAGAUUAAUAUGCAGCUCAACUAAUCCAGCAGGAAGAGCUUUGAUCCUCGUCAUUGUGGUAUCAAAUUUGUUAUGUAGUUCUACAUUCUUGCUAGAACUAUUCCGUAGUUAUACACGGCAGUUAGCAAGUUCGUCGUUAUGCCACGGCGGUUAGCAGGUUCUUCAUUACACCGUUGAUUGUUCUGGUUACCUUCAUUGCGUGAAUCACGGAGCUAUGAUAGUUCACCAAUCAACUAGUGACGGUGAUAAUCAAGUUCCAAUUGGAGGUCCAUUUGUUCAGCUAGCUGCACACUGAAUAUGUUUGGCAUCAUAUGAGCAAGAAACAACUCUUCUUUCAGUCUCUGAAGCACUUCUAAAAAUUCAUGGUUUGGCAGAAAUGGAUUUGUAUAAAAAAUGGUUCUCUGGCCUUGAGUAAAAACCGAUACUCCUCUUCAUUAAGCCUUCUUAUCAAUUCGGCUACUUGCAAAAGAUUAACCGAGCUCGUAUCAGAAAUAGGAGAGAGAUCAAAGAAUCUGGUGGAAGCUCUGGUUGAUAACUCGUGAGUGGAAUCAUCAGUUGUAGAUACGAUAAGAGUACAUUACUGGCCUUUAUCGGAUCCUGAAUGCUUGUCUGACACAAUAUCAAGAGAGGAGAAUAAUUCCAUUGGCCUAUCUAAUUGCUCCGCUUCGUGAGAUGCCUCCUUGAUUGUAGUAUUCUCCGUAGUAAUUCCUGGAAGAGACUGAUCACCCUCAUUGGCUUCGAUCAACGGAAUAUCCUUUUGGUCAUCUAUAAUUGCAUCAGUUCUUCGACAAGAUUUCGCCAUAUCCAACUCAUCAGCUUCCUGACCUUCUCUUGUUCGCAUCACAUGUGUACGGGAAACAUCUUCAGAUAAAGACAACAAUCUUUCCUUUUCUUUUUCCACUCUCUUUUUCAGUUGUGGUAGACUCAUCCACUGUAGUUAUAAUAGAAGCAUGCGGGGACAAAAGAUCAACAGGUUUGGAUGCAAGAUCGGGUGUUAUUACUCUUUCACUAUUUGAAGUUCUCAAAGAAACAUCUUCUACUACAUCAGCGCCAACCUUCAGAGAGUUUACACCUUGAUCUUGGGCUGACAAUUCAUAAUCAUUCUCAUGGACUCCAUGACCCUUAAGUGCUAAGUUAUCAUCCCAUUCAGUUUUGUAGCUAUCGCAGGUGGCGUGUGUUUGGUCGCUGUUUCGAGCCGCGACUUGUUGAUGGUAGUUACCACUGCUAGGUACUUUUGUCUCACACCCUGCACUUUAUUAAAUUAGCUAAAAAUGGUUAUGUGAGAAAAUGGAUUAUGGGCUAGAUGCAUUAAUUGGAUGACAUGAAUGGAUUAACAUGUGGAUAAUGGUGAUUUUAAAUGGAUUGGUCUGGUACUUAUUGCACAGCGGGUACAGUAAGAUAAGAAAUUUGGCUCAUGGUGCAGCAGAAUCAUGGGUAAUUGGAUGCUAACUGUUGCAAGAUUUUGGAUAAGCAUGAUAUGAAUUCUGACUUGCUUCACGUCUUGCAUAGUAUCUUGCACUGGCUGCUGAUUGAUUGCCGGUUUAUGCAUGGUUAUAUGAAUGGCUGCAGGUCUGUAUAGACUGCAGCAUUUCAUCAAUACCUUUUCAACGCAGGAACGCCACAAAGGUCGGGAUUGUCUGCAUACUAAGUGGUUGAAAGUGUGUUAAGCUGUCGUGAUUAUUAUUCUUGAGACGGAAACAAAUUCGUUGCACCUUGCCUUUAAUUGAUGCCUCAUCUAUACAGGUUUCUACCAUGCUUAACCGGUUUAUGCGGAAUGCCAUUGGCUUAACAACUGACUGCCACGCCGGUAAAUAUCGCGAACAGACUUCAGCAAAAGCGGUUUUAGCCAUCAAUGUAGCCAGUAUAAUGAAUUGGGAUGAAAAGGAUUCUCGAGCUGAGCCGCUAUAUAUUUGGCGAAUUGUUGCAUGUAUUGAUUUGAAGUUCGAUUCAGUUGAAUGAGCCAGGAAUUGGUUGCAAAGCGGUUGCUGAUGGAAUGUUAGGCAAGAAUGGUCCUGCUGUGUCGUUGUUACAAAUUCCAGAAUUUUGGAAUUCUGUCAUAUCUUCUUUUCUCUUUGUUUCGGUUAGGGGAGUUCCUUGUUGUUACCAAUGGAAUCAAAUCUUGAAAAUUUCUCGUGACUAUUGCCAAAAUUGUCACCAAAAUCCCUGCUGCUUGAUGUAUCAAAAUGCUCCCUUCAGGGUAUGCGAACCUGUGAGCCUCUGAGGCAACAUUAACAUUUUUUUUUUACUUCCUUUCGCAAGUUGGUUUACUUUGCUUUAUGGUGAAGGGUUCUACUUUUCAGAACUUCCAAUGGAACUCAGGAGAUCAUCAGCGGAUGGGAUGGGAUCAUGAUGGCUUACACUGAUACCGCCAGUAUCACAUGAGCUGCAGUCGAGGUAUAAAACAUGGAUGGGAACGUCCGAUGGAUCUGAAAAAGCAGUAAUGUGUACAUGGUCUCUCUCUUCGCCCCUUGGUUCAACAACAGAUUUGCAAAGCUGCUCAACUGUUGUGUUGGUCAGGCUUAUUACGAAAGGUUCGAAAAGAUUCAUAGCGGUUUUGUAUCGUAACGGACGUAACAAAUCUGAAGAGCAUAACAACAUAAUUAGAUAAGGAAUGAUUUGGGAUCCUAUGCGCAAGCUCUUCAUGACUUAUGGAAGUCUUUUUCCCUUGAAUCACAUUUUCCUGUGGUUGCACUUUUUAAUGAUGAACAUUCAGAUUUCACAGCAUUGAGUGGCGGCUCACUGUCUUGAUAACUACGACAGUUAUUAGAACCUUUGGUAUCACAAAAUGGAGGGCUGUCUGGUGCAGAUUUAGUCACUUGAUCCAAAUCCAUUUCUACACGAUCCCCAAUUUCUUUUUGAGAACAUCUCAUUGAAUUACUUUUCUCCAUAAUGCACUUAGUAUCCCCAACCUCAUUUGACAUACACGAGUUCAGCAGAACCUUGUCAGUUUCUUAUAACUACAAGUUGAAUUGUUAAGAGUUUGGCAAUGCUCCAAAACCAUCCUAUCAUCAAAAGAACGUUGCAGGAAUACAUUAGCACAAAAGGUCACAUCCGAGUUCUUAUAAAUAGUCACCAUGUUUUCCACAAAUGGCACAUGCCUUAAAUCUAUUUGAGCUGUUUGGUGUUACAGAGAGCACACUCAGAAUCAAUCGUUGAACUAUCUGACAUGCAGGAACUGCAGGACAAGUGGUUGGAAGGAAGCAAAACCGGUUGCUUGAACAAGCUCAAGCAGAGAGGGCAUCUGAGUUCGAGAGCGAGUUUCUGAAAGUGAAGCAUCCAUGGAUUCAAUAGUUUGCUACUUCCUCUGUUCCUUUUUAAGUGUCCAUUUCUUGUAAAAAAAUCGUUUCUUUUUAAUUGUCACUUGCAAAGUUCAAGGUAGUAUUAAUUGCAGUUUUGUCAAAAUUACCCCUAGGUAAUUAUUAUAGAGAGAGAAAAAGUAAAAUGAAUGUAAUAAAUAAUUAGGGGCAUUAUAGGUAAAACAAGAAUUAUUGUUUGAAAAGUAACAAUAAUGAUUAGCUUCCUUGAUAUGUGUAUAAAGUCAAAAAAUGACACUUAAAAAGGAACGAAGGGAGUACUACUUUUACUCGCGAUGUUGUUGGUGGGUUUUCCAGAAUCCUCCAUUUUUCUUUCUUCUGAUUUUGGUGAAGCUAAGUCCUUAGCAGUGAGUGAAGCGAAAAGAGGUUUCCUUGGUUUUGAAGUAGGUUAGAGAGCAGCUAGGUUCUUCAUUACCUAGCAAACUAAUUCCUUCAAACUCAGAUAUUCCAUGCUCGGAGAAUUCAUUCGCGGAAGGGCCUUCUAGUUUUAGCAACCGUCUUCUACGCCUAACAUGGAGAGGAUGAUCUUGAAAUGCAGCCAACGAUGGUAAAUCAUUCAUGUCAAAGACCAUCACCAAAGCAGUCAUUUGAUCAAACCUGGGAAUAUUCUCGACAGAAAGCCCACCAUGAAGAUGAGCCGUCCAAACAACAAUAUGAACAAUAUGGUAUUCAUUGUUAACAGUCCUCUCAUGGACAUUUACCUCAGAAGCCAAGUCAAAUGCAUCUUCAAAACCAACAGAUGGCAAUCGGAAAAAGAAAGGUGAAUUCGCCGAUGGUGGAGGAUAUGAUGAUGAAGAUUCUGGGUCAAUUUCGAGAGAAACCGGAUUCGUUUGUAAUUCAGUAACAUCCAUGUGUAUGUGUAGCAGUUAGAAAGUUAGUGUGAGCUCAAUUACUCAAACCGUCAGAGAUUGUGAUUUUGUUCUUCUGCUACCGAUUCUUGGAGUUGUCUUGGGUUAAUGGUAGUGAGCCAUUUGAAACAUGGGCCAUGAAGUGUUUAUUAUGCGUAUAUUUGAUAGAAUGUUUCGCAUUAAAAGCUGGCGAGUUAUUGGAAUUGUUUUUUGCUGGGCCCAUGAGAAACUGCAGCUCCAACAUCAUGAUUUAUCCUAAAUUCUGCUGCAGUGUUAGAAGAAUCCCAUGCUAGAUUGUGUUAUUCUGCAACAUCUGUCAAGACCUUGAGUUUUACUUCUCCAUAUGGAGUCUUAAAUGAAAGCUUAUCAAUUAUUGUGCGGUUCACGCCUGAAUCUGGACGGAGUUCAGAUACUGCAGUGACAAAUCCUUUCCCAUAUUUAGUGGUAAGCAAGUUUUUUAUGUGCAGUAAUUCUGGCAUAUCAAAACAUCUAGGAGCAGCAAAAAUUACACUUGCGAUGGCUUGCGGCAUAUGGCAUCAUGGUUCUUGACUGGUAUAGCUGGUUUGUAGGAGUGUGAUGCUUUUUGCUUUGCUGCAUUUGGCAUGAUUUGGUAGCACAUGGUCAUGUUCACAUGAAGUGGAUUAUUGUACAGGGCUUGCAAAAUCAAUGACGUCAAGUUGAAAUUUGAAGUAUCAAUGACUAAUGGCAAAGAUCAAGUAGGAAAUUUGGAAGAUUAGGAAUAGGAUUUAGGACUUUGGUUGUAAAAUGGUUAAGUUGACUUUGGUCAAAGUUGACCAAAAAGUCAAUUGUUGACCAAAGUCAACAAUUUGGUCAAAGUUCAUUUUUAGUAUUUUUCUCAUGAAAUGGACAAUGUAAUGGACUAAAAAUUGUUAUUUGAAUGAGUUUGAAUGGUUGACUUGA